rnacentral:tRNA from 1 species
GCCCAGCUGGUUCAGUGGGUAGAGCGCACAACUCUUGAUCUUGGGGUUGUGGGUUUGAGGCCCAUGUUGAGUG